rnacentral:rRNA from 1 species
AUUGAACGCUGGCGGCAGGCUUAACACAUGCAAGUCGAGCGGGGGAAGGUAGCUUGCUACCGGACCUAGCGGCGGACGGGUGAGUAAUGCUUAGGAAUCUGCCUAUUAGUGGGGGACAACAUCUCGAAAGGGAUGCUAAUACCGCAUACGUCCUACAGGAGAAAGCAGGGGAUCUUCGGACCCUGCGCUAAUAGAUGAGCCUAAGUCGGAUUAGCUAGUUGGUGGGGUAAAGGCCUACCAAGGCGACGAUCUGUAGCGGGUCUGAGAGGAUGAUCCGCCACACUGGGACUGAGACACGGCCCAGACUCCUACGGGAGGCAGCAGUGGGGAAUAUUGGACAAUGGGGGGAACCCUGAUCCAGCCAUGCCGCGGGUGUGAAGAAGGCCUUAUGGUUGUAAAGCACUUUAAGCGAGGAGGAGGCUACUUUAGUUAAUACCUAGAGAUAGUGGACGUUACUCGCAGAAUAAGCACCGGCUAACUCUGUG